rnacentral:rRNA from 1 species
AUGGAUGAGAAUGGGACACCAGAUUACAGCGGUGGGGGCUCGGACAUGGACCUGCUCAUGCUCUCAGGGUUUGAUGACCUUGACAGUUUCCCAGAGCUCGGCGCCGGUCCUUCAUUUAGUGACGGUAUCUUGCCGUCUUUCAGUGUUUCACCUGUGCAGCAGGUGACACAUAUCUCACCUUCACCACCUUCUGUGGAUGCUGAGGAGCAAGGUGAUGUUUCCAUUACUGAUGGUAGUGAUUGCUCUGUCAGUUUAGCCUCUAACGAGGUCAUGAACGUUAGCGCUCCCACUGUCCCAAAGACAGUUUAUGGUGGCGUCACCCUGAUGGAGAGGAUGCUCAGGGCAUUGGCCAUGCUUAAAGAAGCAUCAACUGCUGGGCCAGUCCUUGUGCAAGUUUGGAUCCCUGUAAGAAAUGGAGAUCACCAAGUGCUGACCACCUCUGACCAGCCUUUCUUGCUUGAUGAGAGGCUCACAGGGUACAGGGAAGUCUCUAGGCAGUUCACAUUCUCAGCCACAGAAGGACCUGGUCUGUUUCCUGGAUUGCCUGGGCGUGUUUUCAUAUCCGGUAUGCCAGAGUGGACAUCGAACGUGAUGUACUACAACACUUCAGAGUUCUUGAGGGUAGACUAUGCGAUUCGCAAUGAAGUCCGGGGAUCCCUUGCCAUGCCGGUUUUCAACUCAAGUGGCGGCUCUUGCUGUGCUGUGUUGGAAGUAGUCAUGACACAGGAAAAGGAUAACUUUUGCUCAGAGAUGGACAACCUUUCUAAUGCUCUGCAGUCUGUUCAUCUGAGCACUGUGCGAGCAAGGACACAUCCUCAGAGCCUUACUAGGAAUCAGCAAUCAGUAUUGACGGAAAUAUUGGAUGUUCUCCGAGCUGUUUGCCAUACACACAUGCUACCUUUGGCACUUGCAUGGAUUCCAGUUUGCCCCAACAGCAGUUUGAAUGUGUCAGCAGAGUAUGGUGACCAGGCUAUAAAGUUUGGUCUGAGGAACAAAGAUGUCCUUUGCGUUCAAGAAUCUGCCUGUUACAUCAAUGACAUGAGAAUGCAUGAUUUCCUCCGUGCCUGUGCAGAACACCCCCUUGAGAAAGGACAAGGUGUUGCUGGAAAUGCAAUUUUAUCAAAUCAUCCCUUCUUCUCAUCCGAUGUGAGAGAAUAUGAUAUGCAUGAUUAUCCGCUGGCACAUCAUGCCCGUAAGUUUGGUCUUCAUGCUGCUGUUGCUAUCAGGUUGCGUAGCACAUACACUGGCAAUGAUGACUAUGUGCUAGAGUUUUUCCUUCCACUGACAUGCAAAGUUCGUGAAGAACAACAGCUCUUACUUGACGACAUCUCAAUGACCAUGCAAAGAGUAUGCAGUAGUCUGAGAACAGUUUCAGAUGCUGAACUGAAGGAAAACACCACAACAAUGCGAUCAGAAAUAAGAUGCUCGUCGUCUGAUGUUUCUAUUAGUUCAUGUAACCAAAUUGAUGUAUCCAGUGAAGUCAAAAUAAAUGUGCCUUUAGAAAAUCAGAUAAAAAACAGUGUUGAGCAACUGGCGGAUAAAAAAUAUGCCAAGUUUGAACCUGGCACUACAUCUCAAAAUUUUGAAAACUGCAGCUCAACAGGGAAGAAUGUUAGCUUGACUCUCCUUCAGGAAUCUACAUCUGAUGGGCUGAAAAUACGCAGCUCAACGGAGAAGCAUGUUAGCUUGAAAAUCCUUCAGCAAUACUUUGCUGGCAGUUUAAAAGAUGCUGCAAAGAGCAUUGGUGUUUGUCCUACAACACUGAAAAGGAUAUGCCGGCAGCAUGGAAUAUCAAGGUGGCCAUCUCGUAAGAUAAAGAAGGUAAAUCGGUCACUAGAGAAGAUUCAGAAUGUGAUAAGUACUGUACACGAAGUGGAUGGAGUGAUAAAAUAUGAUCCUGCCACUGGAUGUAUUGUUUCAUCUGUUUCCCAUACUGAAGAGCCUUCGAUGAUGAAUGUUGAACAUCGAAGUUCUGAUUCCCUGCCCACUGAAUGCCGUAAGUUCCAACCUGAUUAUGAUGCAUACAAAAGAGAACAUCUAGGCCAAGCUGUACCCCACAAAGCACAGAAUGAGAAAAGGAGCGAAACUCAUAUUAACUUGAAUCCUGGAGGGUUAUCUCGAAAUUCACAUUUUGGUAGAACAUCAAAAGGGUCAGAGUGUCAGGAUGCGUCAAACGAUUCAUAUCUUACAAAAGAAAUGAUCUGUCCUGGCGGUAUGGAGAUGUGGGUUGAGGGAGCUGAGCAAAAGAAUGUAUUGUGGAAUUCUAUUUCUAUGCCUCAGCAAUGGAAAAUUGAGAUAGAAACAGACAAGUCUAAUGCGAUUGUUGAGCAAAGCCUGGCAUCUUCUUCCAGCAUGACAGAUUGCUCCAGUGGCGGUACAUCGAGUGAUGGGACUUUGAAGAAAUGCUUGAAGAGUCGACCAGUAGAUGGAAGCAAUGCGAGCAUAGUUGUGAAGGCCGCUUACAAGGAUGACACUGUAAGGUUGAAAUUACUACCAUCCAUGAAAUACCAGGAUCUGCUUGAAGAAAUCGCAAAGAGGCUGAAGCUAUCAGUUGGCGCAUUUCAGCUCAAGUACAAGGAUGAUGAGGAUGAAUGGGUGAUUUUAGCGAGCGAUGCUGAUCUCCAGGAAUGCCUUGAUGUACUAGACACCACCGGGGCACGCAUCAUGAAAGUUCAAGUACGAGAUGUUCCAUGUGCCACUGGAGCUUCUUCGGGUAGUAGCUUUAUAUCUGGUCAAUAG